UACGUAGGGUGCGAGCGUUGUCCGGAAUUAUUGGGCGUAAAGAGCUCGUAGGCGGUCUGUCGCGUCGGUCGUGAAAACUUGGGGCUUAACCCUGAGCUUGCGGUCGAUACGGGCAGGCUGGAGUUCGGUAGGGGAGACUGGAAUUCCUGGUGUAGCGGUGAAAUGCGCAGAUAUCAGGAGGAACACCGGUGGCGAAGGCGGGUCUCUGGGCCGAUACUGACGCUGAGGAGCGAAAGCGUGGGGAGCGAACAGG
rnacentral:rRNA from 1 species